rnacentral:rRNA from 1 species
GGUUAAGCGACUAAGCGUACACGGUGGAUGCCCUGGCAGUCAGAGGCGAUGAAGGACGUGCUAAUCUGCGAUAAGCGCCGGUAAGGUGAUAUGAACCGUUAUAACCGGCGAUUUCCGAAUGGGGAAACCCAGUGUGAUUCGUCACACUAUCAUUAACUGAAUCCAUAGGUUAAUGAGGCGAACCGGGGGAACUGAAACAUCUAAGUACCCCGAGGAAAAGAAAUCAACCGAGAUUCCCCCAGUAGCGGCGAGCGAACGGGGAGGAGCCCAGAGCCUGAAUCAGCAUGUGUGUUAGUGGAAGCGUCUGGAAAGGCGCGCGAUACAGGGUGACAGCCCCGUACACAAAAAUGCACAUGCUGUGAGCUCGAUGAGUAGGGCGGGACACGUGGUAUCCUGUCUGAAUAUGGGGGGACCAUCCUCCAAGGCUAAAUACUCCUGACUGACCGAUAGUGAACCAGUACCGUGAGGGAAAGGCGAAAAGAACCCCGGCGAGGGGAGUGAAAAAGAACCUGAAACCGUGUACGUACAAGCAGUGGGAGCACCCUUUGGGGUGUGACUGCGUACCUUUUGUAUAAUGGGUCAGCGACUUAUAUUCUGUAGCAAGGUUAACCGAAUAGGGGAGCCGGAGGGAAACCGAGUCUUAACCGGGCGUUAAGUUGCAGGGUAUAGACCCGAAACCCGGUGAUCUAGCCAUGGGCAGGUUGAAGGUUGGGUAACACUAACUGGAGGACCGAACCGACUAAUGUUGAAAAAUUAGCGGAUGACCUGUGGCUGGGGGUGAAAGGCCAAUCAAACCGGGAGAUAGCUGGUUCUCCCCGAAAGCUAUUUAGGUAGCGCCUCGUGAAUUCAUCUCCGGGGGUAGAGCACUGUUUCGGCUAGGGGGCCAUCCCGGCUUACCAACCCGAUGCAAACUGCGAAUACCGGAGAAUGUUAUCACGGGAGACACACGGCGGGUGCUAACGUCCGUCGUGAAGAGGGAAACAACCCAGACCGCCAGCUAAGGUCCCAAAGUCAUGGUUAAGUGGGAAACGAUGUGGGAAGGCCCAGACAGCCAGGAUGUUGGCUUAGAAGCAGCCAUCAUUUAAAGAAAGCGUAAUAGCUCACUGGUCGAGUCGGCCUGCGCGGAAGAUGUAACGGGGCUAAACCAUGCACCGAAGCUGCGGCAGCGACGCUUAUGCGUUGUUGGGUAGGGGAGCGUUCUGUAAGCCUGUGAAGGUGGCCUGUGAGGGUUGCUGGAGGUAUCAGAAGUGCGAAUGCUGACAUAAGUAACGAUAAAGCGGGUGAAAAGCCCGCUCGCCGGAAGACCAAGGGUUCCUGUCCAACGUUAAUCGGGGCAGGGUGAGUCGACCCCUAAGGCGAGGCCGAAAGGCGUAGUCGAUGGGAAACGGGUUAAUAUUCCCGUACUUGGUGUUACUGCGAAGGGGGGACGGAGAAGGCUAUGUUGGCCGGGCGACGGUUGUCCCGGUUUAAGCGUGUAGGUGUGUGUUCCAGGUAAAUCCGGUUCACUUUAACACUGAGGCGUGACGACGAGGCACUACGGUGCUGAAGCAACAAAUGCCCUGCUUCCAGGAAAAGCCUCUAAGCAUCAGGUAACAUCAAAUCGUACCCCAAACCGACACAGGUGGUCAGGUAGAGAAUACCAAGGCGCUUGAGAGAACUCGGGUGAAGGAACUAGGCAAAAUGGUGCCGUAACUUCGGGAGAAGGCACGCUGACACGUAGGUGAAGUGAUUUACUCAUGGAGCUGAAGUCAGUCGAAGAUACCAGCUGGCUGCAACUGUUUAUUAAAAACACAGCACUGUGCAAACACGAAAGUGGACGUAUACGGUGUGACGCCUGCCCGGUGCCGGAAGGUUAAUUGAUGGGGUCAGCGCAAGCGAAGCUCCUGAUCGAAGCCCCGGUAAACGGCGGCCGUAACUAUAACGGUCCUAAGGUAGCGAAAUUCCUUGUCGGGUAAGUUCCGACCUGCACGAAUGGCGUAAUGAUGGCCAGGCUGUCUCCACCCGAGACUCAGUGAAAUUGAACUCGCUGUGAAGAUGCAGUGUACCCGCGGCAAGACGGAAAGACCCCGUGAACCUUUACUAUAGCUUGACACUGAACAUUGAGCCUUGAUGUGUAGGAUAGGUGGGAGGCUUUGAAGUGUGGACGCCAGUCUGCAUGGAGCCGACCUUGAAAUACCACCCUUUAAUGUUUGAUGUUCUAACGUGGACCCGUAAUCCGGGUUGCGGACAGUGUCUGGUGGGUAGUUUGACUGGGGCGGUCUCCUCCUAAAGAGUAACGGAGGAGCACGAAGGUUGGCUAAUCCUGGUCGGACAUCAGGAGGUUAGUGCAAUGGCAUAAGCCAGCUUGACUGCGAGCGUGACGGCGCGAGCAGGUGCGAAAGCAGGUCAUAGUGAUCCGGUGGUUCUGAAUGGAAGGGCCAUCGCUCAACGGAUAAAAGGUACUCCGGGGAUAACAGGCUGAUACCGCCCAAGAGUUCAUAUCGACGGCGGUGUUUGGCACCUCGAUGUCGGCUCAUCACAUCCUGGGGCUGAAGUAGGUCCCAAGGGUAUGGCUGUUCGCCAUUUAAAGUGGUACGCGAGCUGGGUUUAGAACGUCGUGAGACAGUUCGGUCCCUAUCUGCCGUGGGCGCUGGAGAACUGAGGGGGGCUGCUCCUAGUACGAGAGGACCGGAGUGGACGCAUCACUGGUGUUCGGGUUGUCAUGCCAAUGGCACUGCCCGGUAGCUAAAUGCGGAAGAGAUAAGUGCUGAAAGCAUCUAAGCACGAAACUUGCCCCGAGAUGAGUUCUCCCUGAGACUUAGAGUCUCCUGAAGGAACGUUGAAGACGACGACGUUGAUAGGCCGGGUGUGUAAGCGCAGCGAUGCGUUGAGCUAACCGGUACUAAUGAACCGUGAGGCUUAACCUU